rnacentral:tRNA from 1 species
AGUUAUUUAAACUUUAGAUAAGUUUAUAUUUUGAAAAUAUAAGAAAAUGGUUAAAUUCCAUUAAUAACUU